rnacentral:rRNA from 1 species
GAUGAACGCUGGCGGCGUGCCUAAUACAUGCAAGUCGAGCGAGCGGCGGACGGGUGAGUAAUGUAUGGGGAUCUGCCCGAUAGAGGGGGAUAACUACUGGAAACGGUGGCUAAUACCGCAUACUAUCAGAUGAGCCUAGGUCGGAUUAGCUAGUUGGUGGGGUAAAGGCCUACCAAGGCGACGAUCCGUAACUGGUCUGAGAGGAUGAUCAGUCACACUGGAACUGAGACACGGUCCAGACUCCUACGGGAGGCAGCAGUGGGGAAUAUUGGACAAUGGGCGAAAGCCUGAUCCAGCCAUGCCGCGUGUAUGAAGAAGGCCUUAGGGUUGUAAAGUACUUUCAGCGGGGAGGCGUUACCCGCAGAAGAAGCACCGGCUAACUCCGUGCCAGCAGCCGCGGUAAUAC